CUGGAGGGAACGAAGGGCGGGGGCAAUUCACACCUCAACUGAGCCACAGGGGCUUGGAGCGAAUUUUUCCCAGCAAAGAGCAUAACAUUUCUCUCAGUAACGUUCGGCCAUUUAGGGCAGGUGGAAGUAUGAUUUCAUCGACAUCGUUAAUCUCCGUCCUCCCCCUCGUUCCCCUUCGUCGUCGAUGCGAUGGUUGCUGUCAAUCUUCGAUUCCUAGCUCGUUUCUGUCCGUUUCUAUGCCUUGGUUUUAUCCAAAGGUAUUACAAUGUGAACCUGGAUACCGUAUGCAGUCCUGCAAUUCAUUCUCUCCGGCGGUGAAAACACACGGGCGGGUAUUGAGUUUGGCUGAACAAAAUGAAGAUAAAUUCCACGUAGUGUCGGCCAUUAGAAGCGUUUAUAAUGAUAUAGUGAUCGUGGACACUCCCCGAUCCAGGAUGCUACUCCUAGAUUCCAGCCAUAAUGUUCACAGUAUUCGUCCCUGUGGAGAGAAAUGGACUGGUUCAUACUGGGAUGAGUUCGCUAGCUUGCCAGCUAUUGUUCCGCGGGGCCCAAUUGCAAUCUUUGGUUUGGUAGGUGCCGGAACAGCCGCUCACUUAAUGCUUGAUUUAUGGCCUUCAUUAGAGCUUCACGGCUGGGAGAUUGAUCAAAUCUUGGUUGAUAAAGCCAGAGAAUAUUUUGCACUGUCAGAUCUUGAGAAGCGUACACCCACUGGUGGCAUUCUUCAUGUUUGCGUCGGUGAUGCACUUUCUCCAUCAGUUAAUGUUUCUGGAGGGUAUGCUGGCAUCGUUGUUGAUUUGUUUUCUGAUGGAAAGGUUCUACCGCAGUUGCAAGAGGUGUCAACUUGGUUGGAGUUGCAUGGUAAAUUAAUGCCAAAUGGUCGUUUCAUGGUGAAUUGUGGUGCUGCUAAUGAUGGAGUGUCCGAUACCACUUCCCCUGAAUCGUGGUCGAUCGAUCGCAGUUGGGUGCAAAAUUCUACUAUCAGGGCAUUAUGCCAAGCAUUUCCAAGAGAAGUAGGGUUAAACUGGAAGAAAAUGCCAAAAGAGGAAGGUGAAAACUACGUGGCCUUGACAGGACCCUUGCCAGAUUUGGCCACAUGGUCUGCUGUUCUCCCAGAUCGAUUGAGCAUGACUGUCAAUCAAUGGAGGCCUUGCUUGCCUUUAUGAGUUUUCAAACAUUACCACUUCGCUGUUGCAAUACUUAUACCUACUGGUCAUGCAGUUUGAGAUUCACAUGCUAAACCACCACAGUGCAGUUUGCAGCCAACAGGUUAAUAAAGCAUGGAUAUCUAAGUAUGAAGAAGGUUCGUAACAUAAGGAGGUGUAGGAAAGUCUUGGAUGAAGAAGUCACUUUUCUGUGGCGGAGCAUCUCUAGCCUUACCCAAAUUUGGGUCAAAAUUUUAGUAAAAACUCGUUAUGGGUCAAGCUCACUCCAAUGGCAAAGUGAUCUCUUAUCCAAAUAUAUUGUUUUUUAUGCUUUCAAUACUCGAGUACGGACUGAUCAUCUUGUUGAUGAGUUUGAGUUCGUCCUGGGCCUCUUUUUUUUUUUUGCUCAGCAAAUGGAAACAUUUUAUAAAACUCGAAAGGGGAACAUCGAGGACGGGGCAUGCCGAUGAGCAUAAAAAAGCUCACCAACAAAAAGAGAAAAAAUAAAGUACAAGCAUUCAACUGAAAGUUUGAUGAGCUCUUCGAGCUGGCCACAGCUGAGGUGCUUUUUGAUCAUCAACUAGUCCUCUUCCUCCUGGCAGACCUUGAGGCGGUGGUGGGUGAAGCUCUCCACGACCUUCCAAAACCCCUCGUCUUCAAGCAUGGCCUCGAUCUCUUUUAGGGUUUUGGCGUACAAUAUGAUCAGCACCUCCCUCGUGUUUGGGACCACCUCUAGCCUGACGAUCCCGCGUUGGGGACCACCACUAGCUCGACGAUACCCGUUGUCUUCUUCACUUUGGCCACAGAGAGCCGUUGGAAAGGAGAAAUGAGCUGUUGGAAAAAUGGGGAGAGGCUUGGUUGUCCCAGAUUUGGGCCAAGAAAUGAGAAAAACCAAAAAAUAGGAAGGGUUUGGGUCAUGAUUGAAGAUGAGUUUUUGAGAAUUUUGUUCAAAUUUUAAAUUUGGAUCUUAAAAUGGGUUAAGAUUGAAGAUGCUCUAAAGUUUAGUUUUUGGUCAAUCAUUUUUUCC